UACGUAGGGUCCGAGCGUUGUCCGGAAUUAUUGGGCGUAAAGGGCUCGUAGGCGGUCUGUUGCGUCGGGAGUGAAAACUUACAGCUUAACUGUGAGCGUGCUUUCGAUACGGGCAGACUUGAGGCAUUCAGGGGAGAACGGAAUUCCUGGUGUAGCGGUGAAAUGCGCAGAUAUCAGGAGGAACACCGGUGGCGAAGGCGGUUCUCUGGGAAUGUCCUGACGCUGAGGAGCGAAAGUGUGGGGGAGCGAACAGGG
rnacentral:rRNA from 1 species